GGUUCUCUGCUGUGAUUCUGUGGUUUUUGUUGUCAGUGUUCUACAUCAGAACAUCAUGUAAAGUGAGUUAAAGAGUUUGAGUUCUGGUCCUUGUCCUGCCUUUAUGGGCAUUUUGGGUUCUCAGGUAGGAGAGGAGCAGCAGCAUUCCUGGAGUACAGAGGAGGGAAGGUGGAGCUCCUGGCUGGAUGGAAGCAGAGCUCUGCUUUGGGACCCACCUGACAGAAAUAAGAAGCUCACAGCCAAAGAUGCUCUUUGCCUUCAGAGAUGAAUCCCACUUCCUCCAUAAGGUUGGAUAACCUGGAAUGGAAAGCAGCACCUAAAGAAGGGUCCCAGCUCGGUGCUGCUGCUGUUGGCCCUGCUGUGCUCCCGCCUGUGGCUGCUGGCUGUGCUCUAUUGGGGUUGGUGGCUUUGGGACUGGAACGGCCCUGAGAGAGGUCCCCGUCACAGCCGUUGGGUGCGGAACUGGAAGAUUUGGGAAUAUUUCUGUGAUUAUUUCCCCAUCACGGUGCGGGGACACGGGGGGGCAGGUAGUGGGAAGAGAAGGGAAG